GAGUGGCGGACGGGUGAGUAACACGUGGGUAACCUGCCCUAAAGUGGGGGAUAACAUUUGGAAACAGAUGCUAAUACCGCAUAAAACCUAACACCGCAUGGUGUAGGGUUGAAAGAUGGUUUCGGCUAUCACUUUAGGAUGGACCCGCGGUGCAUUAGUUAGUUGGUGAGGUAAAGGCUCACCAAGACCGUGAUGCAUAGCCGACCUGAGAGGGUAAUCGGCCACACUGGGACUGAGACACGGCCCAGACUCCUACGGGAGGCAGCAGUAGGGAAUCUUCCACAAUGGACGAAAGUCUGAUGGAGCAACGCCGCGUGAGUGAAGAAGGUUUUCGGAUCGUAAAACUCUGUUGUUGGAGAAGAAUGUAUCUGAUAGUAACUGAUCAGGUAGUGACGGUAUCCAACCAGAAAGCCACGGCUAACUACGUGCCAGCAGCCGCGGUAAUACGUAGGUGGCAAGCGUUGUCCGGAUUUAUUGGGCGUAAAGCGAGCGCAGGCGGUUUCUUAAGUCUGAUGUGAAAGCCUUCGGCUCAACCGAAGAAGUGCAUCGGAAACUGGGAAACUUGAGUGCAGAAGAGGACAGUGGAACUCCAUGUGUAGCGGUGAAAUGCGUAGAUAUAUGGAAGAACACCAGUGGCGAAGGCGGCUGUCUGGUCUGUAACUGACGCUGAGGCUCGAAAGCAUGGGUAGCAAACAGGAUUAGAUACCCUGGUAGUCCAUGCCGUAAACGAUGAGUGCUAGGUGUUGGAGGGUUUCCGCCCUUCAGUGCCGCAGCUAACGCAUUAAGCACUCCGCCUGGGGAGUACGACCGCAAGGUUGAAACUCAAAGGAAUUGACGGGGGCCCGCACAAGCGGUGGAGCAUGUGGUUUAAUUCGAAGCAACGCGAAGAACCUUACCAGGUCUUGACAUCCUUUGACCACUCUAGAGAUAGAGCUUUCCCUUCGGGGACAAAGUGACAGGUGGUGCAUGGUUGUCGUCAGCUCGUGUCGUGAGAUGUUGGGUUAAGUCCCGCAACGAGCGCAACCCUUAUUACUAGUUGCCAGCAUUAAGUUGGGCACUCUAGUGAGACUGCCGGUGACAAACCGGAGGAAGGUGGGGACGACGUCAAAUCAUCAUGCCCCUUAUGACCUGGGCUACACACGUGCUACAAUGGAUGGUACAACGAGUUGCGAGACCGCGAGGUUUAGCUAAUCUCUUAAAACCAUUCUCAGUUCGGAUUGUAGGCUGCAACUCGCCUACAUGAAGCCGGAAUCGCUAGUAAUCGCGGAUCAGCAUGCCGCGGUGAAUACGUUCCCGGGCCUUGUACACACCGCCCGUCACACCAUGAGAGUUUGUAACACCCAAAGCCGGUGAGGUAACCCUUCGGGGAGCCAGCCGUCUAAGG
rnacentral:rRNA from 1 species